GUGUGUACGAGUAUUUGAUGGUGGCGUUGGUGUAAAAAUGUGCAAUAAAGUUAAUUGCAAAACCACAACUAAUUAAUUAAAUUUAAUGCAAUUGAAUUUUUAAAAUAAAAUAUGUAUUUUAAUUUAUGUUGUUGAAUCCGGUAAAGUUGGAGGGAGAUACAUAAUGGUGGCUAAUAAGUAAUUACAAAUUAAACAAUUGUGCAGUAAAAUAAGCUUAUAGUGACCAGACACGUUAAUAAGCUUUAAUUGCACUUACCAGUUUGAGGUUGUAAUUCAAUUAGAGAAUUCCAUAUACUUCUCGUAGCUUGAGUAUAAUAUCCGAUUUCCGCAUUUGGGUGUAAACCAAAGACAUCUGGCUUAUUUACUAACGGUAAUUUAUCAAUAUGAGCUAAAAUAAUGAGAAAUACAUUAGGAGGAUUUUAAAAAUAAACAUUUUUG